GGUUUUGAUCGGCGCCAUUUAAUGUUCACAGUGCAAAAAGAGAAAACAAGCGAAGUUUUUUACUUGUGGACACACAGCCAGGAGGACGGCAGUGAUCGGAUAUUAGUAGGCCAUUCCUAAACAUCCAAAUGCCAGACACAGAUGCUCACACCUACAUAGCUGUUAGAGGAUGUUAAACAUGAUGCAACCUCGAUGCGCAACACCACCCUGGGAAUCUAUGUCGUCGUACAUGAAGGAGCAGAUGAUACAGACCCAUAUGAGGAUGUUGGCAUCAUAAUUAAAUGCAUCCAAGUAUUUGAAAACCUGAACAAUGUAGCAAAUGCAUGUUCUGUGAUAAUUGGUCUAAUUUAUGCAUUAAACUUGUCUAAUCCACAAGAUCUGAGAUACACUUUUAAAGUAUUUAAAAAGUUAUUUAUGAAACUAGAUGCAAACAAGCAUUCAAACAAGGUCCAGGUCCUGAAAAAUAAACUCUUGU